AUUGAACGCUGGCGGCAGGCCUAACACAUGCAAGUCGAACGGAGUGGCGAACGGGUGAGUAACACGUGGGUGACCUGCCCUGCACUUCGGGAUAAGCCUGGGAAACUGGGUCUAAUACCGGAUAGUGUGGGAUGGGCUCGCGGCCUAUCAGCUUGUUGGUGGGGUAAUGGCCUACCAAGGCGGCGACGGGUAGCCGGCCUGAGAGGGUGGACGGCCACAGUGGGACUGAGAGACGGACCAGAGGGGUACGGGAGGCAGUAGGGGGGAAUAUGGCACAAUGGGGGGGAGCCUGAGGAGGCGACGGCGCGUGGGGGAUGACGGCCUUCGGGGUAUAAACGCCUUUCACCAAAGACGCGGUAGAUGGAGAAGAAGCACCGGCUAACUACGUGCCAGCAGCCGCGGUAAUUC
rnacentral:rRNA from 1 species